AGACGGCAUUCAUUUCAUGGCUCAAUCGCCUGGGAACAUGUCCAGGUUGUAUAUCAACCAAUAAUAACAAUGAUGAUAAUAAUUCUGCAUUGUCUUUUUUUUUGGUAACAAUUUAAAUAUAAUUUUAAGAUUAUAAAAUACAUUUCUUAUGUAUUUCUUUGUGGUGUAAUGUGACUGGGACAAGUUUUGUGGGAUUCACCCAUAUGUCAAUUUAGUAAGAAUGCUUUCACUAAGAACAUAAAUGUAAAUUUAAUUGAACAGGCCGGGUCUGACUCAUGUCUCUAAACCGAAUUUUAAUUGGCUGAGGAGCUGAGUGAAGGUCAUAAACAGGUUGACCUUUGGUAGAGCCACACGCACAAACUCUAAAUUAUAUAUUAGGGGUCUAGAUAUUGGUUUCCACCCUCCUUUCUAAUUUUAUUUUACUGUCACAGUGGAGGAACAAAGGUCAAUCUUUCACACACCAUCUGUCAGGAUGCAAUCUUUAAAUCAUUUUGAAACCUUUUCAUUCUGAUGUUCUACAUGACCUGUGUAAGUCAGUCCACCUGUAGGAGAAUUCAACCAGUAUCAUGUUUAUUUAAUUGUCUUCAGCAUUAAAACAUGCAGUAAACAUGCUUCUUGUUCACUAACCAUAAGCAAUCCAGCUUAGCAAAACACAAUAGCUGCAUUGAAAUAGCACUGCUGCAAAUGUAAGUCAUUGUAGUUUUAUAUUUUUUCUACGCAAAUAAUCUUAUUAUACAGUGUGCCUUAUUCAGUAAAUACUGUUGCAAAAAAAAUGACAAAACUGCAGAAAAAAGGUAAAAUAAAACAACAUAGAGCAAAUAAGGCAAAACACACACAAUAAAACAAGUCAAAACAAAACAUUAUCAUGCCCUCUGUUUACAUCUGUCUGAACAGUUCAUCCUGCCGGGAAGCUUUCUGAAUCCCAAACACAGCUCUGCAAAGGCAGCUAUCUGAGGGCUUCUUCACUGCAGGUGUAAUGAAGAGGUCGAGAAAGAGAGAGUGGAGUGUGGUUCUAGAAGGUCAUUGGAGCAACGUGUUUGAAGAGCCAAGAGUACAGAUGUGCUCAGUCAAAGGUGAGCGCUAACAACUCCAGAGCAGACCACCAGAUGCACUGUAGAGUCCAUCACAAUAAAAUGAUCUGGCC
ensembl:lncRNA